UACGUAGGGGGCAAGCGUUGUCCGGAUUUAUUGGGCGUAAAGAGCGUGUAGGCGGCCAGGUAGGUCCGUUGUGAAAACUGGAGGCUUAACCUCCAGCUGUCGAUGGAAACCAUCUGGCUAGAGUCCGGAAGAGGAGAGUGGAAUUCCUGGUGUAGCGGUGAAAUGCGCAGAUAUCAGGAGGAACACCGACGGCGAAGGCAGCACUCUGGGCCGGUACUGACGCUGAGGAGCGAAAGCAUGGGGAGCGAACAGG
rnacentral:rRNA from 1 species